UCACUAACCUAAGACCAUAGUGGCCAGGUGACUUUCUGUCCGGGUCACUAACCUAAGACCAUAGUGGCCAGAUGACUUUCAGUCCAGGUCACUAACCUAAGACCAUAGAGUGGCCAGAUGACUUUCAGUCCAGGUCACUAACCUAAGACCAUAGAGUGGCCAGGUGACUUUCAGUCCAGGUCACUAACCUAAGACCAUAGAGUGGCCAGAUGACUUUCAGUCCAGGUCACUAACCUAAGACCAUAGAGUGGCCAGGUGACUUUCAGUCCAGGUCACUAACCUAAGACCAUAGUGGCCAGAUGACUUUCAGUCCAGGUCACUAACCUAAGACCAUAGAGUGGCCAGAUGACUUUCAGUCCAGGUCACUAACCUAAGACCAUAGUGGCCAGGUGACUUUCAGUCCUGGUCACUAACCUAAGACCAUAGUGGCCAGAUGACUUUCAGUCCAGGUCACUAACCUAAGACCAUAGAGUGGCCAGAUGACUUUCAGUCCAGGUCACUAACCUAAGACCAUAGUGGCCAGAUGACUUUCAGUCCAGGUCACUAACCUAAGACCAUAGUGGCCAGAUGACUUUCAGUCCAGGUCACUAACCUAAGACCAUAGUGGCCAGAUGACUUUCAGUCCAGGUCACUAACCUAAGACCAUAGUGGCCAGAUGACUUUCAGUCCAGGUCACUAACCUAAGACCAUAGUGGCCAGAUGACUUUCAGUCCAGGUCACUAACCUAAGACCAUAGAGUGGCCAGAUGACUUUCAGUCCAGGUCACUAACCUAAGACCAUAGUGGCCAGAUGACUUUCAGUCCAGGUCACUAACCUAAGACCAUAGAGUGGCCAGAUGACUUUCAGUCCAGGUCACUAACCUAAGACCAUAGUGGCCAGAUGACUUUCAGUCCAGGUCACUAACCUAAGACCAUAGUGGCCAGAUGACUUUCAGUCCAGGUCACUAACCUAAGACCAUAGAGUGGCCAGAUGACUUUCAGUCCAGGUCACUAACCUAAGACCAUAGAGUGGCCAGAUGACUUUCAGUCCUGGUCACUAACCUAAGACCAUAGAGUGGCCAGAUGACUUUCAGUCCGGGUCACUAACCUAAGACCAUAGAGUGGCCAGAUGACUUUCAGUCCAGGUCACUAACCUAAGACCAUAGUGGCCAGAUGACUUUCAGUCCAGGUCACUAACCUAAGACCAUAGUGGCCAGAUGACUUUCAGUCCAGGUCACUAACCUAAGACCAUAGUGGCCAGAUGACUUUCAGUCCAGGUCACUAACCUAAGACCAUAGUGGCCAGAUGACUUUCAGUCCAGGUCACUAACCUAAGACCAUAGUGGCCAGAUGACUUUCAGUCCAGGUCACUAACCUAAGACCAUAGAGUGGCCAGAUGACUUUCAGUCCAGGUCACUAACCUAAGACCAUAGAGUGGCCAGAUGACCCAGGUCUGCUUCGAGGUUCAUGUUAGUUUUUACCUUGUGCAUAACAACUGGAAAACAUUCCUAGAAAAGGGGGGACUUGACACUUGUAGGUGUUAUGCACAUGUACUGUAGCUGGCCACUGGGUGACAAUCAUAGGCUAGUGUAGACCAUACACUUCCAGUUGUCCUUGUACUCAUCUCAUUUCUUCCAAGGAUUGAAAAUAAUAAAACAAGAAUCAGUCAACCUUUUUAUUCUUGUGGCCUUUUCCCUCCCCCUGAUGCCCCCUGGUGUCCACCAAAGACCCACUCCAUUUGCUAGGCUGUGUUGAAGAGAGGGAGUGUACAAGGAAAUACAUAGAGAUGGAAUCAGGGCAGGGCAAUUUCUGUGAUCCUAAGAGAGAGAUUAAAAGAGAAACACAGAGGCCAGGGCGCACCUAGGCCAGUACCCUCAACGGAGCUUCCUACAUCUUGAUGUCGAAUCAAAAAAGACCCCUCCCCCUCCACUGAAAGGAGAUAGAAAAGGACAAGGCGAAUGGAGUCGGAAGACGCAGUAAGAUCACGCCACACUGAGGUCUGCUUGUCUCAGACAGCUUUUUGUGUUCCAAUAGCUCCUCUCCUCCCUCCCUCCUUCUGCGCUCUGGGGUAGAGAAGCGAGAGGUGACGUAAUCGUCUCCCACAGAGCUGGUGUUGAAGGGCCGGGCUUAGCAGCAUCCACUGUGCCGCUUUGAGUUUCCCAGAAUCCUGUGGGACUUUUUCCUGUUCUGAGUCUUUCUCUGUGUGAUUUAUGUGUUACACUACAUUUUUGGAUUUGUUUAACUUUUACUACCCCUUUUUAGCUAGUGAGACAAAAGUGGAUUCAGCAAAAGGGGGUUUGAGUACACUUAUAAAUAUGAAUGUAAUUUUAGUCAAGAGGUUAUUGAAGUACAAAAUGCAUUAAAGGUAGAUGGAUUUCAGUUUUUCUGACUUGAAAAAUAACAUGUGUAAAGAGUCAUUAUGAAGUCUGGUAUGCAUAUAUACUGUACAGUCCUAGGAACGUCAAGAAACUUGGGUUCUGUAUCCACUAAAGCAUGAGCAACACUCGCUUCCUAACAGUUUAUAUCCUCCUAGGUAUCCAAAAUCACUCACUUUCUCUUCCCCAUUACUUUCUUUCUUUUUCCUUCCACAUCCUGUCCUUUUCCCCAUUAUCUCAGCUCUCAAUCUCGGUUUUGUCUCGGUUGUAUUUGUUCCGGAGUAUAACCCCCUCAAAAAGAGCAGCUGCCACGUUUAUUUCUCAGAAUCAGUAUGGGAGCUGUCCAAUUAUCCCCCUUCCUCCCCAAACAAACACACACUUUACACCACCUCUUUGAAGUGUGUAAUGGGUAUGUGUGUAUGAUGCCACCGCUGCGCUGUUCGUUUCGGGCAGGAGGACGAAAACACAGCGUGACCAACCGCAGGGGCUUGCGGCCUCCACUUGGGUGUGGUUACAAGCCUUUUGUGCGUCUCGUGUGUGUGUGUGUGUGUGUGUGUGUGUGUGUGUGUGUGUGUGUGUGUGUGCGUAUCUCUGUGUGUGUGUGUAUGUGUGUGUCUGUGAAAAAGGAAAACCAAAACAAAUCUGCUUCUAUGCAGCAUAUCCCUCGGGGAAUAGGGACCUCCUGUAUUUUUUUUGUUGCCUUUUUCAGUGGUUUUGUUCCAGAGCCACCCCCCUACCCAGCUGUAAAGACCCCCCCUCCCUACCCAGCUGUAAAGACCCCCCCUCCCUACCCAGCUGUAAAGACUCUCUCCAUACUAUACCUAUCAAAGGCCAUUUCACUAUAUGGACAUAUUUGUGUUUUGUAAAAAAACAUUUCUUAUGCCAUAGUUUUGCCAUCAUGGCAAUCAAUCAUUGACCAAACGCCUGCAAAUAGACAUAAAGAGUGAAUUCUGGUGAUGAUAUACACAUUUACAGUAUGUUCAGUAAGUUCAAAUGAAUUGUGCCUCCGCUUUGAUAUAUUGAAACGUAGCUGUAUUGAAAUGGUGAGGAUCUUCCAGAUUUCAGACAAGGUGCCUUUUUAUGGCAUAAGAAAUGUAAAUGGUAUAUGGCUGAAUUGAUCAAAAUGGCAAAUAACUUGAAGAAAAACCAUGUGGUUUAGAGUGCUAUGAAGCUGGUCAUAGUUCUAGGGGUGUGGCUAAACAGUUUGGUAUCGUGUAUGUUUAGGUAAAUACUGUGCCAUAGUUUUUAGAGUCCACAAAUACGUUACCGUUUUCUUUCUUCUUCAAAUAUAUCAAAUGUUUUACUGUUGCCUGAUAACGUUGUCUCUGGAUUUGAUACAAAGGCUUGUAGCCACAGCUUUCCCAAAGUCUCUUGUUUGUUUACUUCCUUGUUUCUUUAACUCGUUCCUCUUGUUCUCCUCUCUCCUCUUCGCUACAAUCAAACAAAUAAAGUAUUAACCUGAUGACCCAACAGAAAGAAA